rnacentral:rRNA from 1 species
AGCAGCCGCGGUAAUUCCAGCUCCAAUAGCGUAUAUUAAAGUUGUUGCAGUUAAAAAGCUCGUAGUUGAAUUUCGAGAUCAAAUUGUUGGUCGUGCCUCGGUACGUACUGGUAAUUUUGGUUUCUCCCUUCUGAAGAACCAUGAUGUCAUUAAUUUGGUGUCUUGGGGAAUCAGGACUGUUACUUUGAAAAAAUUAGAGUGUUUAAAGCAGGCUCGCGCUUGAAUACAUUAGCAUGGAAUAAUGAAAUAGGACGUUUGAUUCUAUUUUGUUGGUUCUAGGAUCGACGUAAUGAUUAAUAGGGAUAGUUGGGGGCAUUAGUAUUCAAUUGUCAGAGGUGAAAUUCUUGGAUUUAUGAAGACUAACUACUGCGAAAGCAUUUGCCAAGGAUGUUUCAUUAAUCAAGAACGAAAGUUAGGGAUACGAAGACGA